CGAAGUAAAAGUCGUAACAAGGUUUCCGUAGGUGAACCUGCGGAAGGAUCAUUAACGAGUUAGGGUCUUCCAGGCCCGACCUCCCAACCCUAUGUUUAUUGAACCUCUGUUGCUUCGGCGGACCCGUCUCACGACCGCCGGAGGACCGCCGCGAGGCGUCCUCUGGCCAGCGUCCGCCGAUGGCCAACCACUUAACUCUGAAUGAAUCGUGUCAUUAUGUCUAGGUCUAUGAUUAAAUUAAAGCAAAACCUUCAACAACGGAUCUCUUGGUUCUG
rnacentral:misc_RNA from 1 species